rnacentral:rRNA from 1 species
AGAUUAAACUGAAGAGUUUGAUCCUGGCUCAGAUUGAACGCUGGCGGCAUGCCUUACACAUGCAAGUCGAACGGCAGCACGGAGCUUGCUCUGGU